rnacentral:rRNA from 1 species
UUUCGCAAUGCCCGAAAGGGUGACGAAGCGACGCCGCGUGGGUGAGGAAGGCCUUCGGGUUGUAAAGCCCUGUCAGGAGUUAAGAAAUGUAAGUGCGCUAAUAUCGCAUUUAUUUGACGAAGGCUCCAAAGGAAGUCACGGCUAACUCUGUGCCAGCAGCCGCGGUAAUACAGAGGUGGCAAGCGUUGUUCGGAAUUAUUGGGCGUAAAGAGCACGUAGGUGGGUUUGUAAGUCAGAUGUGAAAGCCUCCUGUUCAACGGGAGAAUUGCAUCUGAAACUGCGGAUCUUGAGUGUAGGAGGGGAGAAUGGAACUUCUGGUGGAGCGGUGAAAUGCGUAGAUAUCAGAAGGAACGCCGGCGGCGAAAGCGAUUCUCUGGCCUAUUACUGACACUCAGUGUGCGAAAGCUAGGGGAGCAAACGGGAUUAGAUACCCCGGUAGUCCUAGCCGUAAACGAUGGGCACUAAGUAGAGGGGUUUUAA